rnacentral:misc_RNA from 1 species
GAUGAAGAACGUAGCGAAAUGCGAUAAGUAGUGUGAAUUGCAGAAUUCAGUGAAUCAUCGAAUCUUUGAACGCACAUUGCGCCCCCUGGUAUUCCGGGGGGCAUGCCUGUCCGAGCGUCAUUACAACCCUCAAGCUCUGCUUGGUGUUGGGCCCCGCCGCCCCGGCGGGCCCUAAAGUCAGUGGCGGUGCCAUCCGGCUCCGAGCGUAGUAAUUCUUCUCGCUCUGGAGGUCCGGUUGUGUGCUUGCCAUCAACCCCCAAUUUUUUUCAGGUUGACCUCGGAUCAGGUAGGGAUACCCGCUGAACUUAAGCAUAUCAAUAAGCGGAGGA